rnacentral:rRNA from 1 species
GACGAACGCUGGCGGCGUGCUUAACACAUGCAAGCCGAACGGAAAGGCCCUCACCUUGGUGGGGGUGCUCGAGUGGCGAACGGGUGAGUAACACGUGGGUGAUCUGCCCUGUACUUCGGGAUAAGCUUGGGAGACUGGGUCUAAUACCGGAUAGGACCAUGGUUUAGUGUCUCAUGGUGGAAAAAUUAUUGUUUUGGUGCAGGAUGAGCUCGCGGCCUAUCAGCUUGUUGGUGGGGUAAUGGCCUACCAAGGCGUCGACGGGUAGCCGGCCUGAGAGGGUGGACGGCCACAUUGGGACUGAGAUACGGCCCAGACUCCUACGGGAGGCAGCAGUGGGGAAUAUUGCACAAUGGGCGCAAGCCUGAUGCAGCGACGCCGCGUGGGGGAUGACGGCCUUCGGGUUGUAAACUCCUUUCGUUAGGGACGAAGCCACACUUUUUUUGGGUGUGGUGACGGUACCUUUGUUAAGAAGCACCGGCUAACUACGUGCCAGCAGCCGCGGUAAUACGUAGGGUGCGAGCGUUGUCCGGAAUUACUGGGCGUAAAGAGCUCGUAGGUGGUUUGUUGCGUCGUCUGUGAAAUUCCGGGGCUUAACUUCGGGGUGGCAGGCGAUACGGGCAUAACUAGAGUGCUGUAGGGGAGACUGGAAUUCCUGGUGUAGCGGUGGAAUGCGCAGAUAUCAGGAGGAACACCGAUGGCGAAGGCAGGUCUCUGGGCAGUAACUGACGCUGAGGAGCGAAAGCAUGGGGAGCGAACAGGAUUAGAUACCCUGGUAGUCCAUGCUGUAAACGGUGGGCGUUAGGUGUGGGGACCGGUUUGGUUUCUGUGCCGUAGCUAACGCAUUAAGCGCCCCGCCUGGGGAGUACGGCCGCAAGGCUAAAACUCAAAGGAAUUGACGGGGGCCCGCACAAGCGGCGGAGCAUGUGGAUUAAUUCGAUGCAACGCGAAGAACCUUACCUGGGUUUGACAUGCACCAGACGGUUGUAGAGAUACGUACCUCCCUUUGUGGUUGGUGUGCAGGUGGUGCAUGGUUGUCGUCAGCUCGUGUCGUGAGAUGUUGGGUUAAGUCCCGCAACGAGCGCAACCCUUGUCUUAUGUUGCCAGCACGUUUGGGUGGGGACUCAUGAGAGACUGCCGGGGUUAACUCGGAGGAAGGUGGGGAUGACGUCAAAUCAUCAUGCCCUUUAUGCCCAGGGCUUCACACAUGCUACAAUGGUUAGUACAACGCGCGGCGAGCCUGUGAGGGUGAGCGAAUCGCUGAAAGCUAAUCUCAGUUCGGAUUGGGGUCUGCAACUCGACCCCAUGAAGUCGGAGUCGCUAGUAAUCGCAGAUCAGCAAUGCUGCGGUGAAUACGUUCCCGGGCCU